rnacentral:rRNA from 1 species
AGGGUGCAGGGCGGAUGCCUUGGCACUAGGAGCCGAUGAAGGACGUGAUAAGCUGCGAUAAGCUUCGGGGAGUUGCACGUAAACUUUGAUCCGAAGAUUUCCGAAUGAGGAAACUCACUUAGAGUAAUGUCUAAGUAUCAUUAAGUGAAUACAUAGCUUAAUGAGGGGAACUCAGGGAACUGAAACAUCUAAGUACCUGAAGGAAGAGAAAGAAAUUCGAUUCCGUAAGUAGCGGCGAGCGAACGCGGAUUAGCCCAAACCAAUAAAGUUUUCUUUAUUGGGGUUGCGGACAUAUCAUAACGAAGAGGUAUCGUAAUUGAAGAGGUUUGGAAAGACCCACCACAGAAGGUAAUAGUCCUGUAUGUUAAACGAGAAGACUUUAGAUAUGAUCCAGAGUACCACGGGACACGUGAAACCCUGUGGGAAGCAGGAGGGACCACCCUCCAAGGCUAAAUACUACCUAGUGACCGAUAGCGUAUAGUACCGUGAGGGAAAGGUGAAAAGAACCCCGGGAGGGGAGUGAAAUAGAACCUGAAACCCUGCACUUACAAGCUGUGGAAGCACAUUUCUUGUGUGACCGCGUACUUUUUGUAGAACGGGCCAACGAGUUACGUUAAGUAGCAAGGUUAAGCACUUAAGGUGUGGAGCCGUAGCGAAAGCGAGUUUUAACUGAGCGUUCAGUUACUUGACGUAGACCCGAAACCGGGCGACCUACCCAUGAGCAGGAUGAAGCGAAAGUAAAAUUUCGUGGAGGUCCGAACCCACGAGCGUUGAAAAGCUCGGGGAUGACUUGUGGGUAGCGGUGAAAUUCCAAUCGAGCCCGGAGAUAGCUGGUUCUCCCCGAAAUAGCUUUAGGGCUAGCCUCAAGGUGAGAGAUACGGAGGUAGAGCACUGAAUGUCCUAGGGGGUAUUGCACCUACCGAAGACUAUCAAACUCCGAAUGCCGUCAUCUUAUACUUGGGAGUCAGACUGUGGGUGAUAAGAUUCAUAGUCGAAAGGGCAACAGCCCAGAUCGUCAGCUAAGGUCCCUAAAUGUAAGUUAAGUGGUAAAGGAUGUGGGAUUGCACAGACAACCAGGAUGUUGGCUUAGAAGCAGCCACUCAUUCAAAGAGUGCGUAAUAGCUCACUGGUCGAGUGAUCCUGCGCCGAAGAUUUCCGGGGCUAAAACUUACUACCGAAGCUACGGCAUCAGUAAUGAUGGGUAGGGGAGCUUCCCAUACGGGUUGAAGCAUGACCGUAAGGACAUGUGGACAGUAUGGGAGUGAGAAUGUUGGCAUGAGUAGCGAGAUGUGGGUGAGAAUCCCACAGGCCGUAAACCCAAGGUUUCCAGGGGAAGGUUCGUCCGCCCUGGGUUAGUCGGGACCUAAGCUGAGGCCGAAAGGCGUAGGUGAUGGACAACAGGUUGAUAUUCCUGUACUACCGAUAACCGUUUGAGAGAAGGGAUGACACAGUAGGAUAAGCUAAGCACACUGUUGGUUAUGUGUGCCCAAGCAUUGAGGCAGUCAAAGUAGGCAAAUCCGCUUUGAUAAUGCUGGGAUGUGAUGGGGAGCGAAAUUUAGUAGCGAAGUAGCUGAUUUCACACUGUCAAGAAAAGUCUCUAUCGAGGUUAAAGGUACCCGUACCGCAAACCGACACAGGUGGGUGAGGAGAGUAUCCUAAGGCCAGCGAGAGAACUGUUGUUAAGGAACUCGGCAAAAUGACCCCGUAACUUAGGGAUAAGGGGUGCCACCAUCAGGUGGCCGCAGAGAAUAGGCCCAAGCGACUGUUUACCAAAAACAUAGGUUUCUGCUAAGUCGCAAGACGAUGUAUAGGAGCUGACGCCUGCCCGGUGCUGGAAGGUUAAGGGGAUCUGUUAGAGCAAUCGAAGCAGUGAACUUAAGCCCCAGUAAACGGCGGCCGUAACUAUAACGGUCCUAAGGUAGCGAAAUUCCUUGUCGGGUAAGUUCCGACCCGCACGAAAGGCGUAACGAUUUGGGCACUGUCUCAACAACAGACUCGGUGAAAUUGUAAUUCCGGUGAAGAUGCCGGAUACCUGCGACAGGACGGAAAGACCCCAUGGAGCUUUACUGUAGCUUGACAUUGGGUCUUGGUACUACAUGUACAGGAUAGGUGGGAGGCUUUGAAACCAGGACGCCAGUUUUGGCGGAGCCAUCCUUGGGAUACCACCCUUGUAGUACUGGGACUCUAACCAUAGGCCAUGAAUCUGGUCUUGGGACACUGUCAGGUGGGCAGUUUGACUGGGGCGGUCGCCUCCCAAAAGGUAACGGAGGCGCUCAAAGGUUCUCUCAGUACGGUCGGAAAUCGUACGUAGAGUGUAAAGGCAAAAGAGAGCUUGAUUGCAAGACAUACAGGUCGAGCAAGGAUGAAAAUCGGACUUAGUGAUCCGGUGGUUCUGCGUGGAAGGGCCAUCGCUCAACGGAUAAAAGCUACCCUGGGGAUAACAGGCUUAUCUCCCCCAAGAGUCCACAUCGACGGGGAGGUUUGGCACCUCGAUGUCGGCUCAUCACAUCCUGGGGCUGUAGUAGGUCCCAAGGGUUGGGCUGUUCGCCCAUUAAAGUGGUACGCGAGCUGGGUUCAGAACGUCGUGAGACAGUUCGGUCCCUAUCCGUCGCAGGCGUAGGAAAUUUGAGAAGACCUGUCCUUAGUACGAGAGGACCGGGAUGGACGUACCUCUGGUGUACCAGUUGUCCUGCCAAGGGCAUGGCUGGGUAGCUAUGUACGGAAUGGAUAAGCGCUGAAAGCAUCUAAGCGCGAAGCCAACUUCAAGAUAAGAUUUCCCACCGCAAGGGUAAGACCCCAGAAAGACUAUCUGGUUGA